rnacentral:lncRNA from 1 species
CGCUAGUUUACUCUUAGCCAUCUGUGGUGACCUUGGGUCUCCUUCAGGGCACCUGGCGGAAAGCACGAAAGCUGGGGAGAUCCUGGAGUCACAGACCAGAUCUGCCUGCCUUUGUCUUGGAAAUUGUGGUUUUAAAAGCAAAUGCCACCCAUGGCUGCUGGUGACAUUUUUGAAAAGCUGUUAUUGUCCGUUGGAGAAGUGUCUAACAAACAAGAUUUGCCACAGUAACAAAAAGGCCGAUGAAAAUUGUUACACUUUGGCUCUUAGAGCUUAGAAGAACAUUGUCUAUUCAGGAACUCCUGACUGUAUGUGUUGGUGGAGGAGGAGGUUUACAGUUUAAUCUACUCAUGAGGUCCAUCUUGUUUGGGAAGAAGAAUGGUUUGUUUACACUCUUGAUUUCCUGACACAAUCCCACUGGUACUGGAUGUCAAAGUAGCUUUUAGGUCCGGCAGCACUGCAGAAAU